rnacentral:rRNA from 1 species
AGAAGGAAAACACAUUGGUUAUCAUGGGAUAAAUUAACAAGGCCUAAAGGUAAGGGUGGUAUGGGAUUUCAUGAUCUCAAACUUUUUAAUCAAGCUCUUUUGGCAAAAUAGGCGUGGCGUUUAUUGAUUUAUCUGGACUCGUUGUGUGCGAAGUUGAUGAAGGCAAAGUAUUAUCCUCAGGGUCAUAUUCUAGAUACAGUAUUUCCGCAAUCUUCAUCAGUAACUUGCCAAGGUAUUGUGCAUUGUUUGGAAUUGCUGAAGAAAUGGGUCAUUUGGAGGGUUUGGGAUGGUUCUAGUAUUAAUAUUUGGAGGGACAAUUGGAUACCUAGAAACUAA